rnacentral:lncRNA from 1 species
AAUUGUUUCCAUUUUUUCUUUGUUUUCCUUGAUUUUUUUCCGAUGUUCUCAUAUGGUGGAGAAAAACCCCAGCCGGAACCUAAGAAGCCCCUCCGAUCUCCCGGAGGUGCUCUCCUUCCCACGUAUCCGAAAAAGAGAAAGAAAAAGACGUGAUAAAAAAAAAAAAGUGAUCAAUCUUCGUGGGAAAAGGUUUUACCUUUUAGUUUUUUCCC